GACGGUUUAUAGGAUGAAUUUUGUGUGUUUAUUUCAUAUUUUGCAAUUUUGUAUGAAAAGAGAAUAUAUAGAACAUACGACGAAUAAUGUUAGUAAAACCAGUUUUUUGCAAUGUUAGAUAUAUAAAUAGUAAAAUUAAUGGUUGGCAUAAGUUGAGCAUGUAUGGUUGACUUCAUAAAUGAAUAUUGUUGGAUGACAUUGUGCAUUGUAACUUACUUCUAAAUGUAACCUUUUAAAUUGCUAUAAUGAAUUUAUAUCGUUCCGUUGAUGUCGUCACUUGUAUCCUAGAUACAUACAUAUGUAUUUGAGGUAAAAGUCAUAUUGAAGCCUGAGAAUUAACUCCGCUGACAUAAAACUGUAUUGAAAUGUCAAAGCAAUUAUUUUUCAUGCUCUGAAAACUUCUUAUAAUCAAGUUCAAUUCAAUAAAAACGGAGAAGUACGCAAACCAGACUGCAUCUCGUGAUAUCACCGAUAAAUUUAAGGAUUUACGUUAUGAAUUAGUUCCACACCCACCGAAUUUGCCAGAUUUGGCCCCAAGCGUCUACAUCUUUCCCAGACUCAAAAUAUGGCUUGCAGAAAAAAACUCAAAUUCGGAGAUCAAGAGGCAUUGAAACUUCACAUUAUCGAACCAGUAUCGAAAUUUCAUGGCAGAUUGUCACAACAAAAUCAUUACUAUAUAUGGAGAUUAUGUAGAAGUAUAAAUCUAGAUAUUUAUUAAAAAAACGUUCUUUCAUUGUUACGCCAAAGGCUUUUCAGGCUACUACAUUCAUGUCGGCCUUUGUCAAUAAAAACAUUGUGUACAGAACUUUAGAGGUACAUAUGUAUGUCGGUAUGCGAAUAUAAAAGUCAGAAUAAAAUUAUAUUUGAUAUUUA